AGAGUUUGAUCCUGGCUCAGAAUCAACGCUGGCGGCGCGCUUAACACAUGCAAGUCGAGCGAGAAAGUGGAGCAAUCCAUGAGUACAGCGGCGUACGGGUGAGUAACACGUGGGUAAUCUACCUUUUAGUGGGGAAUAACCCUGGGAAACCGGGGCUAAUACCGCAUAAUCCUGUGAAGGGAAAGCAGCAAUGCGCUGAAAGAGGAGCCCGCGGCCGAUUAGCUAGUUGGUGAGGUAACGGCCCACCAAGGCGGUGAUCGGUAGCCGGCCUGAGAGGGCACACGGCCACACUGGCACUGAAACACGGGCCAGACUCCUACGGGAGGCAGCAGUGGGGAAUCUUGCACAAUGGAGGCAACUCUGAUGCAGCGACGCCGCGUGAGCGAUGAAGCCCUUCGGGGUGUAAAGCUCUUUCGGCAGGGAAGAUUAUGACGGUACCUGCAGAAGAAGCUGCGGCUAACUACGUGCCAGCAGCCGCGGUAAUACGUAGGCAGCGAGCGUUGUUCGGAAUUACUGGGCGUAAAGAGUGUGUAGGCGGUGCUCUAAGUUCGGUGUGAAAUCUCCUGGCUUAACUGGGAGGGUGCGCCGGAAACUGGAAUGCUUGAGCGUGGGAGAGGAAAGCGGAAUUCCUGGUGUAGCGGUGAAAUGCGUAGAUAUCACGAGGAACACCUGCGGUGUAGACGGCUUUCUGGACCAUUGCUGACGCUGAGACACGAAAGCGUGGGUAGCAAACAGGAUUAGAUACCCUGGUAGUCC
rnacentral:rRNA from 1 species